ensembl:lincRNA
GCCAGUUUAGAUGUAGUCAAAGAGUGCGUUAAUUACAAAGGCCUCCCAUUGGCUAUAUGAACCCAGGACCUGGAUCAUCCUCUCCUGCAGAGGUUAUUUAAGGAGAGACACAGUGUACAACAUUUGAAACAGCUUGUCAGUUCCUCUGAGGUCAAGACAUCCUUGGACACACAAGCCACUAUGGCCAAGCUGGUGUGUCUGAUGUUGGCCAUUCUUAUUCUAGUAGCAAUCUGCAGUGAGCACACAGUCUAUUCUAAAGGAAGGCAUCUCAAGAACAAGUGUGGCUGCUUUGUUACAGCAGUUAACAGUGUGGUCUGCCCGAGCAGAUUCCUUCCACAGACCGAACAAGAGCUGCGACAGGUUUUACGCUGCCUUUGCUCAAAACAUAAGCAUGAUCGCAAGGUGUUGCAGAAUGAAGUACUGCAGAAGACAUGCAAGAGAAAACCCAUACCCCUAUCUAUUCCCUUGACCUGAGAAGAAGCAAGGAGUUCAUCCCAGACAGUGUUUUGAAAGCCCAGAAGAACCUAUGAUAGAUGCUUGUGCUUCAAAUUUAAAAGGGAUAUACCUAGUGACGUUUUCCACUUUCAGCACUGUCAUGCGAAACAUUUGUACAUAACAUUAAACUUCUCAUAGUACAGGCAAAGCAAAGCAGCAUAAGUGCAAUAACAUUUAAUCUUUCAAACCAAAGGCUUCAGUUAGGACAGUUUUUCAGUCUUAGUAUUUAAGAUUAAGAUUGAUGUGUUGAGUUCUUAAUAUUCUUAAUAUUUAUUUAUUAAGAACCCAACACUUCUGAUUUCCCUCUGCCUUGCUUUACAACAGAGGUCUCCAACCCAAUACUGAAUCACCAAUUUUGAAAGACUCGAACAAUUUAAUUGUACCUAAAGAAGCUGUUGAGUUUCUAAACUGCUUAAUAUAGUAAUCUCUACUUUAAUUUAGAGAUCAGACUGAAAGAUGACAUUGUCACAGCUCUAUAGAUCUUAUAUGCUUCAAGCCCAAUGCUAUGCCAGCUAAGAUUCCUUGAGUUUAAAAAGCCUAAACAGAUUUUUGCUCUUGGCUUUCCUUUAAUUGUACUGUAUUUUUUAACUGCUCAAUAACCUGCAAAUGGUGACUCGAAUGGCCACAGGAUUAGCACAGUCUUUAGAUAACGAGUUAUACGCCUAUGCCUAGAUAUGUUAUAUUUGAAGUUAUAGGCAAGUGUAGAACGUAUCAAGAGGAACACAACAAUUAUUUUUAAUUUUAAAGAUCUUUCAUGUUUUCUGAGAUGUUAUCAUUUAAUCAUAUAUUGUUUUACUUGUGCUAUAGGUACAUGUUAAAAUAAAGCUCUUUACUCUGAGUAGCUGCUUGAAUUUCUGCAGCAUUUCCUAUUUCCUCGUUACAGAGCCAAACUUGAGCGAAGGAACCCUGGCUUUUUGGCUUUAAACAUAUUCGCCUACCUUAGGUGUGUUGUGCACACUGCUUUUUAUCAUGAGCAGGCGUCUCCAGUGGCUAUGCAGAAGUUAUAUCUCAAAUGGUGAAUGGUGCCCUGUGUGUAGCCCCUGUGGACUCAAAAUCCUAAUGUAAUCCUGGAAUAACUUGUGUGACAACUCCAUCUCACAAAGGUGAGGUUUUUUUGUAUGGCUUUUUGCAAACAGCUUAUCGUAACAAAGAAUGAAACUUGAUUUCUGUGCAAUGUCUAUUAGGAUGUAAAUAAAAUUGCUGGUCCCAGGAAUCUGUUGUGCUUACCAGUAUUAUUUUCAUCACAAUCCUGAGAUACAAAAUAAAUAAUGUUCUUCAUCUGUUUAAUGAGAUGUUACUGUA